rnacentral:piRNA from 1 species
AAUGUUGGUAGAAAAUGAAUUUAUAAUAAU